rnacentral:rRNA from 1 species
GAUGAACGCUGGCGGCGUGCCUAAUACAUGCAAGUCGAGCGAACGGACGAGCAGCUUGCUUUUCUGAUGUUAGCGGCGGACGGGUGAGUAACACGUGGAUAACCUACCUAUAAGACUGGGAUAACUUCGGGAAACCGGAGCUAAUACCGGAUAAUAUUUUGAACCGCAUGGUUCAAAAGUGAAAGACGGUCUUGCUGUCACUUAUAGAUGGAUCCGCGCUGCAUUAGCUAGUUGGUAAGGUAACGGCUUACCAAGGCAACGAUGCAUAGCCGACCUCAGAGGGUGAUCGGCCACACUGGAACUGAGACACGGUCCAGACUCCUACGGGAGGCAGCAGUAGGGAAUCUUCCGCAAUGGGCGAAAGCCUGACGGAGCAACGCCGCGUGAGUGAUGAAGGUCUUCGGAUCGUAAAACUCUGUUAUUAGGGAAGAACAUAUGUGUAAGUAACUGUGCACAUCUUGACGGUACCUAAUCAGAAAGCCAGGGCUAACUACGUG